rnacentral:lncRNA from 1 species
UGGCGGCCAUCCACGACGCCAUGGCCGUGGUGGCAGCCAUCCACACACACCCGGCACCCUAGAAGAGGCCCCCGACCCCGCAGACUCCUCCCGAACCCUAGCCGCCUCUCCUCCCUCUACCCCGCUCACACCCGUCGUCGUCCGCGACCCCAUGGCCUUCUCGCCGUGAAGCUCGCGCCCUCCGUCGAUCCCGUGCCCGGAGUCCAUGUCCUGCAGCUCCGUCAGCCUCCUCUACGUCGUCUACGACCACCACCUCGAGCUCUAUGCCUCUACAUCGCCGGGAUCGACGUCGUCUUCCUCACCUACAGCCGCCGUUGCCUCAUCCGAUCUACCUCACCGGAGCUCCUCCGCCCCGUCCGACGCGUCCUCCACCUUCCCCUGUGAGCGGCACCUCCAUUUCCCUUGUCUCCCUUAUGUUCAUCGCCUCGUGUCGCCGUCCUGUGUCGCGUGAGUUUCGGCUUGUGGUCGUGGUCACCGCGACCGUGCCCAUCCCCGCGUGUGUGUCCGGCGCGCUCUGCCUCACCUUUGUCUGCGCCCUGCCGCGUACUGGUCUCCCCGGGGCACAGCCUGGCCACACCCAGGUGCGUGCCCGCUGCUCGCCGCGUCGCGCCUGAUGCCCCCGUUGCUGCCAUUUGCUGCUUGCUGUCGCCCGGUGCGCGCCCGCGUUUGUCUCUGCUGAUGUGUUGCUGCUGUGCCUAGGCCACCCCGCUGUGUCGCCGCGUGUGCGUGCGCGUCAUCCUUGCUCUGUUGCUCUUUAUGAGCUAUUGUCCACUGCAGCUACUUCUUCUCGCUGUUGCAGCCCCGCCGCUACCUCCUGCUAUGUUGCACGCCCUUGGCCACUCCGGCCUAGCUCGCCGCUGCUGCUUUUAUGCCUACCUGUUUGCCGCUAUACACUGCUGUUAGCUACCGCUGCCCAGGCCACAGCACUGCUGUUUUGCAAGUAGUUGCUGCUAGCGAUGGCCAUGGCAAAGGCCACGGGCGUACGUGCCUGUGAGUGUGGAGCGUGAGUGUGUGUGUGCUUGUGAGUGAGAGCGUGAGUGUGUGAGUCGUGUGUAGCUUAGUGGGUUAGUAGUAAUUAAUAAUUAGUUUAACUAGUUAGUUUAACUCAUAGCCUAUGUCAAGUGGAGCCUCGGCUAAGUUAAUUUAAUUAAGUAGCGUAGUUUAGUUGCUGCCUAUGAUAUGUGAGCCACACCCAUCCCAUUUGACUAGUAAGUUGACUUGGUCAAACUCGUUUUAAACGAUUUUAGAAAAUCAAAUAAGCUUCAGAAAAUCAUAUCUAAAUCAUACAAACUCGAACGAAAAUAAUUUAUAUAUAAAGGAUGAUCAGAAAAAUAUAACGAAUCUGAAUAUGCCAUCCAUAUACCUGCCACACCUCUCUAACAUGAUGCACAUGAACAUUUUGCAUCAGGAUCGUCUGUCCGAAAAUUACCUGGAGCCGGGAAUAUAUUGCGGGAUAUUUUGCCUCUUCUUUUAAAAUGCUUAAGGAUGCAUUAGAGCAUGUCACCCACACAUCUUGUCGUGCCAUUGCAUUUGUGUUGCAUUUAAUUGUUCUGUUAUUUAUUGUGUUUCCCCUCCAUUACUUUCUUUCCGGUAGACCCCGAGACCGAUGAUGAUCCGGUGAUCGACUACUUCCCGGUCGAGGAUCCGUAUCUGUCUGCAGAGCAGCAAGGCAAGCAAACCCCCCUUGAUCAUUCCUAUAUCGCCUAUGUCUUUCUUCCUACUGCUUGCAUUAGUAUUUUGCUACUGUUGUAGUUAGCUCCUAUAUCUGAUGCAUAGCCUGUUUUUGAUGAACUG